UACAGAGGUCCCAAGCGUUGUUCGGAUUCACUGGGCGUAAAGGGUGCGUAGGCGGACAGGUAAGUCAGUGGUGAAAUCUCUGGGCUUAACCCAGAAACUGCCGUUGAUACUAUUUGUCUUGAAUAUCCUGGAGGUAGGCGGAAUAUGUCAUGUAGCGGUGAAAUGCUUAGAUAUGACAUAGAACACCGAUAGCGAAGGCAGCUUACUACAGGAUGAUUGACGCUGAGGCACGAAAGCGUGGGGAGCAAACAGG
rnacentral:rRNA from 1 species